AAGUCGUAACAAGGUUUCCGUAGGUGAACCUGCGGAAGGAUCAUUAAUACGUAUCCACGUAUCAACCGAAUCGUGCACUCGUUUUCCGCCUUGCGAUGAGAGCUUUGCGGCCAGUUUUUUUCUUCGGAAGCAAUCCGUGAGGAUUGUUUCUGGAGUUUCGAUGAUGCGCAAACUGCCGGUCCUAGACUUCACUUUUUUGGUGGAGGCUAGCUCAUUGCGAGUGUGGCUCAAUAACAAAUUGGACGCAUCAUCAUUUACAACAUAUUAUUAACCCCAUGUACAACAUUCUGAACUGAAAAUCUUUGUUGGGCUGAACAAGCCCGUCAAAGUCUGAAAAGAAACUAAGAAACAACUCUUAACAACGGAUAUCUUGGUUCUC
rnacentral:misc_RNA from 1 species